GCCAAGAGCUCGAGCCGGAGCCUCCCGGCGGCUCCUCCGCCCGCCCCGCUCGCCGCUGCUGCUGCCUCCUCCUGCGGGCACGAUGCAGUUUAUGUUGCUUUUUAGUCGUCAGGGGAAGCUGAGACUUCAGAAGUGGUAUGUCCCGUUGUCUGACAAAGAGAAGAAGAAAAUCACAAGGGAACUUGUUCAGACAGUGCUGGCCCGUAAACCGAAAAUGUGCAGCUUCCUGGAGUGGAGAGACCUGAAGAUUGUUUACAAAAGAUAUGCAAGCCUUUAUUUCUGCUGUGCUAUUGAAGAUCAGGACAAUGAACUGAUAACCCUGGAAAUAAUUCAUCGUUAUGUGGAACUACUUGACAAGUAUUUUGGCAGUGUGUGUGAACUUGAUAUCAUCUUCAAUUUUGAAAAGGCUUAUUUUAUUCUGGAUGAGUUCCUGUUGGGAGGGGAAGUUCAGGAGACCUCCAAGAAAAACGUUCUCAAAGCCAUUGAGCAGGCAGAUCUGUUACAGGAGAGCCAGAAUGAAGACUGGGGAGGUUUGUCUGAGGAUAUCUUAUGAUUAAGAGCAGUCUAAGGCUUUAGCCCUUUUGACCCCCCUCUAAAUUGGCCCCUAAGAGAGGAAUACAUUGUGGCAGUGUUACAAAGAAAAGCCACGUCAUGAAUACUUUAAUGUCCCAGUGUACUAAAUGACUUCAUUCAUCAUGCAUGCAGCAUUUCAGAGAGGAGAUAGACCUGACUUAUUCAUGGCAGAACCUUAUCCUCAGCUUGGUGAAAUCAAUCAUCUUGAACACAAUAGACUAUACCACAACCAUUAUCUUUGCUGUUGUACUUUCCUUCACCCCUUCUGUUUGUAUAUUCUCAUGUCUCAUCUUGAUAUAACUUGUUCCUGUCAGCAUAUGAUCUCUUACUGUGUGAAAAAUUCCAAGUCUUAUGUUCAACGUUUGUGUGGAAGUCAUUCAUUUGAAUAAGUACAUACUGUGUAACAUUACUUAAUCUUUUAAAUAUUUCAGCUGUGGUGUUACUUGAAAAUACAUAUAAAAUUGUAGUAUACAUCAGAAGUUUAUACAGAGAAACUAGUGAUCCCAUGGAAUAGUAUAAGGCUUAUCUUUUUAAAGUGUGUAUAGAAUAUAUACAUACAUAUGUAUAAGCUUUAUGUAUAGUUGUAAAACUGCAUACAUCUCUAAUGAAAAAUGCAAAAGUAAAAUGCAUUUUUCUCUACCUUUACUUUUAAUUUCUUUUGAAAGUAUUUGUUGGGGUAGUGGUGAUUUACUGUUUGUUAUGUAUAGAGGUAGCGGGGAGAAAUUGUUAUGCCUGAUCGUUGGCAUUUAAGCUAGAUAAUGUUUUUGUAAUAUCACAAAAUCUCAGAAUUCUAACAUUCUGAUUUGUGUUUAAAGGUUGAAAACACUUGAGCAUUUGUCCUCCUUUUAUCGUAGUAAUGAUUAAAAUUGUUACCCAAGUACAUUCCUUUGCAACCUAAUACUUCAGAGUUGUAACAUUUUGCUUUUAAUAUUCAGUCAUUAAUAGCAUAUUAAAAUCUUAAUGCUCAUUAAUCAGUAUUUGUAGUUUGAAAUAAGAUGUAUUGAAUCACAAAAGGAAGACUGCUACUUUAAAGAUUUCUAUUAAAAUAACUAUCCUGAGUGUUAUGCAGAUCCAAGAUGAAGACAUAUACUUCACCCUAUAUUGUCCACUAAAAGUGAAUGUUGUUGCAUUUAUAUAGAGCUGGUUUAUCUUUAAGGCAAAGAUUACAUUCAUUUAAAUAGAAAGGAACUGGUUAAAUAAAUCGACCACAAACAGUUUAAAAUUUCAAAAGUAUUUUUAUGUACUACAUUUUAAAUGUCUAUCUGACUUUAAAAAAAUUGGGGGACAUGAAAGGGGAAUUUUUGGAUUUAAUUUGCAGCAUUCUGGGAUAUGUUAUAGAAAACUAGAUCAUAGGGAUGGUUUUCCAUUUCCAAGUUUGUUACUCUUUUUUGUAAGACAUUAACAGUUUGUGUGAACAUGUGCAGUUGGUUAAUGCUACUUUAAUCUGCAUUCUCUCAUGACUGUUGGCUUAAAAUGCUAUGCAUUGAGCUGUAAUGAGAUGCUGUUUCUCUUGUUAUCUGUAUACAGCUGCUUGCUUUUAAAUGACUAGAUAAUGAAUUAGCUUCCUGGCAUGUCUGAAAUAAAGUAUUACAUGCAUUUCUGUCUCAUGUGAAUGGCUUUUUUCUCAACUCUUGGUUCUGGUAUUUUAAAUGUGUAUUUGUUACCUCUGUUAAAU